CCAACCCCACCCGUUCUGUUCUUUCAGAUAGAAGCCUGCCAGCCUGGGUCCGGUUGAGGGAGGUCGAUUAGGCUUGGUCUGUGGCAGAAUGGUGCCCAAGCAGGGACCCCUGGACAGAAUGCUGCAGGAGCAUGCUAGCUUCCAGGAUGAUU